CUUUUCUUACAUGCCAAAGAAGGAGUCCACCACACCCUAUUUUUCUCAUGCCCCCUAACAUAAAUCUUUUACCAUGAGAAACCACUUUCUCAUGCACAAAAACCUCUCUCACUUGUUGCACAAAAAAUAUGAGAGUUUUAAGGUUGGUGGCUAAGAAGUUUUGAUGGAAUAAAAUUUUAUCUUCAUAAGGAUCAUUCCUUAUCUGAUUCAAAUCAAAUUUGAAUCCAGAUUUCAUUCCAUCUAUGGGGUGUU
rnacentral:lncRNA from 1 species